AAGUUCACAGUCACUCUUUUUUUCUUUUUAUCCGCUAGGGUUUUGUUAAAUUCAAGGUUUCGCUUGUGCUUCGCGAUUCUGCUUCGAUUAUCUCUCGCCCCAUGGCGAAACCAAGUCGUGGCCGUCGUUCACCGUCCGUCUCCGGUUCUUCUUCUCGUUCCAGCUCCAGAUCUCGUUCUAGUCCGUCCAGGUCUGUUUCGCGCUCCCGUUCCCGUUCCAGAUCGCUCUCUUCUUCUUCUCGGAGCGUUAGCUCUGGGAGUCGCAGUCCUCCGCCUCGUUCCAAAAGUUCUGCUGGGCCUGCUAGACGUGGUCGCUCUCCUCCUCCACAGUCUAAAGGAGCCUCUUCACCCUCUAAGAAAGCUACACCUAUUCAAGAAUCACUUGUUCUCCAUGUUGAUUCUCUCAGCAGGAAUGUGAAUGAAGGCCAUCUCAAAGAAAUAUUUGGUAACUUUGGUGAAGUUGUACACGUAGAACUUGCCAUGGAUCGAGCUGUUAAUCUUCCGAAAGGAUAUGCUUAUGUUGAGUUCAAGGCUAGAGCUGAUGCUGAGAAAGCUCAGCUGUUUAUGGAUGGUGGUCAAAUUGAUGGAAGUGUUGUCAAAGCGAAGUUCACACUACCACCGCGUCAGAAAGUAUCUCCAUCCCCUAAACCUGUCUCAAGUGCACCAAAAAGAGAGGCUCCAAAAUCUGAUAGUGCUGGUGCUGCUGACAUUGAGAAAGAUGGGCCCAGGCGUCCAAGAGAGACUUCUCCGCAACGGAAAGCAGUAGUCUCUCCAAGAAGGCGAUCACCUCCGCCUAGGAGAGGCGCAUCACCUAGGAGACUACCUGAUUCUCCCCCUCGCCGGAGGCCAAACUCUCCUAUCCGCCGUCGUGGUGAUACACCGCCUAGACGCAGGGCUGCAUCGCCAUCUUCUCCUCCAAGACGACGUAGGUCUCCUCCAAGAGGCUCCCCUAGAAGAAUCCGUGGCAGCCCUGUUCGCAGACGGUCUCCUCCUCCUCUAAGACGAAGGUCACCUCCAAGGAGACUACGCAGUCCUAUAAGAAGAUCUCCAAUCCGCAGACGUAGCCGAUCCCCAAUUCGUAGACCUGCUCGCUCUCGUUCAAGGUCCAUUUCACCCCGCAGGGGACGAGGUCCAGCUGGGAGACGUGGGAGGUCAUCUUCGUACUCUAGUUCGCCAAGUCCCAGAAGGAUUCCUAGGAAGAUUUCAAGGAGCCGCAGUCCAAGAAGAAUGCAUUCGUAGGAAAAUGCUCACUGUUAAGAUGUGUAGUAAAGUCGAUCCAUAUCAUGAUGAAAGACACACAGUAAACGUUUGGAACGGACACUAGUUAUUGAUCUCCACGCCACUGAGAGGAAAAAGAAGCAGCAGUAACAGUAGCAGCAGCAGCUCGCCGCCUCCUCGCAAAACAUAAUGUAAUAAAACUAGUGUUAAGAAAAAACAUCUCUUUUAGCUCCGUCUCUAUCUACCCUCCCCUUCACCGCCAUAUUAUCUGUCUCGACUUGAAGUUUUACCAGUGAGCAAAUGAGAGUUGUAGACUUGUAGUUCUUCAAGAGUGUUGGAUGUUUUAAGCCUCUUUUGCGUAUCGUCCACCUAUCUAUAUCUGAUUUGGAUUUCAGUAGUUUUAUGUUAUGAGUACGACGAGCAUAACAACUUAAAUCUAGUGUGUUCUUUUGCA